CGUGGGUUGGGAGGGUGUGUUCGCACGCGUGUGACAGAGAAGAAAGGGGCGAGGUAUCUCGGCCUGCGAAGCUUUGAGGACCAGGGGUCUUGUGGUAAAAUCCAGACACACCCAUUUCAUGCAACUUAGCCUAUUUUCACCGGAAGAUUCCGCCAAAGCCACCAGGACGGUAACCGUCCUAGAGAACUGACUUGUAACUCAAUUCAACAGAAAAAGAAUGCAUGUUAAGUGCCAGAAUAUAUCUAUGCUAGGAUAUAAAGGAAGAGCAAUAUUUUGCACAUUCUCCAGAAUAGGGAUGAUCCCUAAGGGAGAUAUCAAAGAGUUGGGUAUUCUAAUACUAGGAGGCAGCGUCCGUUCUGCCUAGAGAGCAGAUGUGACUGUUUAGAACUCUUUGUUGAGCGAAUAAACUGGGGAGAAGGGCAAGGUUAAGUCCGACGCAUUUUCAGAUCCGCCACCAUUUACCUUAGGACCUGGAGAAAAGACUGUUUCAGUUAGCUAGCUUGAAGGCCUGCUUGGGAAGCAAGAUAGACAAGGAUUUUUUUUCCCCAUCCUCUAGCCUCACGCCUUAUUUUUCUUUCACAAUUCUGGCCAAAGAAAGCAGUAACUCAUAAUCAGAAGAGAAUUUAUCAUGAAGUUAAUUAAGCUGUGUACCUAAUUUUGUAUCUGUCAUCGUGUAUUCUUAAAAGAAGACUCCGACAUUGUAUAAGUUCUGGAUCUGAACAAAACCUGGAUAAACUCUGGUGCUUUAUUAACUUGAUGAAGAUUAGUGACACUGAGGAAUACUGAGGAACCAGGCUCUAUUCCACCCCAUCCCCUUCAUACACACCUCAUUCCAAAUGCUAUCCUGUCACAGCAGAUGCCACAUCACUUUUGGGGUGGGCUAAGAGAUCAAGAUACACCUACAUUACCAUUUCAAGAGCAACUCAUGGAAGCAUCAGUCCUUUUCAUCUGUCAUUUUACAAGUAGGAAAACUUCAGCUUCUCAAGUGGGCUGGUUCUGUGAUCGACUUCUCUCAGUCUUGAAGAAAACACUGGAAAUUUUUAUGUGGUAAAUAGUUUCCCAAAGUCAGCUGCAAACCAACACUGAAGUGAAAGUUUUCCUAAAUCCUGGAUAGUCCCAUGUUUGGCCCUGAGCCCAUUAUGUGUGAUUUUAUGUUCAAGAUCCUUAAAAUCUGGAUGCUUCAUUUUGCAACCCCAUUGUACCUAACAGGGUGCUGGGCCAUAGAGGAUGUAGAACUUGGGGCAAAUCCUCUAAGAUGGUGAUGCAGAAGGCAGUCACCACCCCAGACACAGGUGGAACAAAUUCUUAGGGUGCUGAGUCUCCAGAGCACCAAAUCACUGCUGCUCACUUGACAACAUCUAAUUAAAGGGAAGGAACUAGCAUUUUCUGAACACUAAACUAAGUGCAUGGGUUUUUCAUGUAUUUAUCCAUUCGAAUGUGAAAGGUUUCGUGAGAAGGAUUACCAUACCCAAAGAGAUAAAACUCUGGAAUGCAGCUGAGUGUGGGCUAAGCAGUGAUUGCUAGUGAUCCUCAAUGUUGCUCUCCAUCUUCUAUGCUUCUGUGCCCUUUAGCUGGGCAUGUGGCCACAUAGUAUAAAUAUUUUUCAGUCUCUUUCAUGUCUUGGACCUGCCACAUGCAAGUUUUCUGUAAUCUACUAGAUGCAUACAUAGGACUAAGUUGUAGCCAUUGUAAUUAUAAGCAAAAAUAAUAUGUGCAAUUUCUGGUAUGGAUCCUUAAAAAGGAGGGUAGGUGGUAUGUCCUUCCAAUCCUUCUCCCUUUCUUCUAGUUGGAAUAUGGAGCUCCAGCAGGUACUUGGACCAUGAGUUAACCUUGAGGGUGGAAGACAUUCACAAUGAAACAGUAAAAUAGAAGAACCCCGAGCUCCAGAGAGCCCUAGCAACCCUAGACUGAUUACCUCUAGAUUACUUAGAGGUGAGAGAAAAACAAACUACUUAGUUAUUAUUUUGCCACUGUUAUUUUGCUUUUUUCUGUUAUGUGCAUCCAAACUAACUGGGGUACAACCUACCACCAUUAACCACUGGAUUUCAGACUUUUUUUCUUUUUUUUUUUUUUUUUUUUGAGAUGGAGUUUUCACACUCUUGUUGCCCAGGCUGGAGUGCAGUGGCGCAAUCUUGACUCACCUCCCGGGUUCAAGCAAUUCUCCUGCCUCAGCCUCCCAAGUGGCUGGGAUUACAAGCACACACCACCAUGCCCAGCUAAUUCUUUUGUGUUUUUAGUAGAGACGGGGUUUCAGCAUGUUGGCCAGGCUGGUCUCAAACUCUUGACCUCAGGUGAUCCGCCUACCUCGGCCUCCCAAAGUGCUGGGAUUGCAGGCAUGAGCCACCGUGCCUGGACACUUUCAGAUAUUUAUUUACAAAAAUAUUUACUGGGAAUUACAAGUUCAUGUGGUCAUGGACAAAUUUGAUAACCUCUAAACCUGUGUUUUCUCAUCCAUAAAAUACUAAUAAAAACAGGGUAGUUAUUAAAAUUGCAUAACAUAAAGUACAUAAAGAGCUUAGCAUAAGGCCUGGCAUAUAGUGAGGGUUCAAUGAAUGCUAUCUAUUGUGUUAUUUGUCAUUGUCCUUCAACAUAGCUCAGUCUAUUGUGUCUGACUCCAAAGCCAGUGAUCACUCCAUCUCAUCCUGCUAUCCAGAGACUGCCUUUCAGGACAGACCCAGCCCAGAGCUGUGGACCCCUGACUCUGUUACCAGUGAACUCCCUAGUACAGCUAUCCCUUCCUUUGCGUGUAAUUCUCUUUCUUUGAUCUACUUGCAUGAUCUCAAUACAGUCUAGAAUAUUUUAAGCCAUUAAAGGUGAUACAGAGCUUUAAGCAAAAUGUCAGUGUUAUGACACAGUGGUUCUGAGACUAUUAGCUUCAAUAUGGCCAAAUGAGAGAGUCUGACUUAUUUUCCAUUUGUGCUAAAAGAAAACUUAGGUAAUAAGUGGGGGUAUUUUUAUUUUAUUAUUCUAUCUUUUUACUUUCUAUUAGGGAAAUUUUCAAACAUAUUCAAAAGUAGGGAAAAUCAUAUAAUGGACUUCUUUGUAUGUAUCACUCAGCAUCAAUACUUAUCAAGUUGGUCCAUUUCUCCAUCAUCCGGGAAAGACAUUAGUGUUGAUGCUGACAUCCCUGUCAAGGACAAUAACUACCAUGGCUCUCAGUGCCUUGGUGUAACCUGGGAUGUGUGGCCUUCUGGCCAAGCAUCUGUCAUUUCAUAUUGUUGGAGCAUUCCUUAUAACCCUGGGGUUGCAGCUCUCUGUAAGUUUGCUGUGGCCUGACCAAGAAAGAAGGCAUAUGCAGAUUUCUACAGAAAUUAUAAUUGAAUUAAAGAAUUUGAGAUGAGGAAGGCUAAUAUCUCUCAGAGUACAAAGUGAUUUUGGAACAUAAAGUAUUUCUUUGGGUUGAAUUACAUAGAAGUUUGUCACUGUACCUGUGUUCCUGAACUAUCUGUGAAACAUGAAUAUGUGGGCUAAGAAAUUGUUUAUCUUAAUAAAUAAUUAACAAACA